CACUUGAUAGCACAUGGUGUGUGCCUGCUUCAAUUACCAGAGGAGACGCAUGUAACGGCAGGAGGCCCCGGUUCGAUUCCGGGUCGGGUGA